rnacentral:rRNA from 1 species
GAUACCACUCUAACAAUGCUAGGAUUCUAACCCUACACCGUUAUCCGGUUAGGGGACAGUUUCAGGUGGUCAGUUUGACUGGGGCGGUCGCCUCCCAAAAGGUAACGGAGGCGUGCAAAGGUUUCCUCAGGCUGGUCGGAAGUCAGUCGUAGAGUGUAAAGGCAUAAGGAAGCUUGAUUGUGAGACCUACAAGUCGAACAAAGACGAAAGUCGGCCUUAGUGAUCCGACGGUUCCGAGUGGAAGGGCCGUCGCUCAACAGAUAAAAGUUACUCUAGGGAUAACA